GUCGAGCGGAUGAAGAGAGCUUGCUCUCUGAUUCAGCGGCGGACGGGUGAGUAAUGCCUAGGAAUCUGCCUGGUAGUGGGGGACAACGUCUCGAAAGGGACGCUAAUACCGCAUACGUCCUACGGGAGAAAGCAGGGGACCUUCGGGCCUUGCGCUAUCAGAUGAGCCUAGGUCGGAUUAGCUAGUUGGUGAGGUAAUGGCUCACCAAGGCGACGAUCCGUAACUGGUCUGAGAGGAUGAUCAGUCACACUGGAACUGAGACACGGUCCAGACUCCUACGGGAGGCAGCAGUGGGGAAUAUUGGACAAUGGGCGAAAGCCUGAUCCAGCCAUGCCGCGUGUGUGAAGAAGGUCUUCGGAUUGUAAAGCACUUUAAGUUGGGAGGAAGGGCAGUAAGCGAAUACCUUGCUGUUUUGACGUUACCGACAGAAUAAGCACCGGCUAACUCUGUGCCAGCAGCCGCGGUAAUACAGAGGGUGCAAGCGUUAAUCGGAAUUACUGGGCGUAAAGCGCGCGUAGGUGGUUUGUUAAGUUGAAUGUGAAAUCCCCGGGCUCAACCUGGGAACUGCAUCCAAAACUGGCAAGCUAGAGUAGGGCAGAGGGUGGUGGAAUUUCCUGUGUAGCGGUGAAAUGCGU
rnacentral:rRNA from 1 species